GACGAACGCUGGCGGCGUGCCUAAUACAUGCAAGUCGAACGCAGUGGGGACGGGUGAGUAACACGUGGGUAACCUCCCAUCAGAGGGGAUAACACUUGGAAACAGGUGCUAAACCGAUACUGAUGGAUGGACCCGCGGUGCAUUAGCUAGUUGGUGAGGUAACGGCUCACCAAGGCCACGAUGCAUAGCCUACCUGGGAGGGUGAUCGGCCACAAUGGGACUGAGACACGGCCCAGACUCCUACGGGAGGAAGCAGUAGGGAAUCUUCGGCAAUGGACGAAAGUCUGACCGAGCAACGCCGCUUGAGUGAAGAAGGGUUUCGGAUCGGAAAACUCUGUUGUUGGAGAUGCGGUAUCUAACCAGAAAGCCACGGCUAACUACGUGCCAGCAGCCGCGGUAAUUC
rnacentral:rRNA from 1 species